UAACAAGGAUUCCCCUAGUAACUGCGAGUGAAGCGGGAAAAGCUCAAAUUUAAAAUCUGGCGGGUUCCCCGUCCGAGUUGUAAUCUGGAGAAGCGUUUUCCGUGUCGGACCGUGUACAAGUCCCUUGGAAUGGGGCGUCAUAGAGGGUGAGAAUCCCGUCCAUGACACGGACUACCGAUGCUUUGUGAUACGCUCUCGAAGAGUCGAGUUGUUUGGGAAUGCAGCUCAAAAUGGGUGGUAAAUUCCAUCUAAAGCUAAAUAUUGGCGAGAGACCGAUAGCGAACAAGUACCGUGAGGGAAAGAUGAAAAGCACUUUGGAAAGAGAGUUAAACAGUACGUGAAAUUGUUGAAAGGGAAACGCUUGAAGUCAGUCGCGUCCGUCRAGACUCAGCCUUGCCUUUGGGCCUGGUGUAUUUCUUGGUGGACGGGUCAACAUCGAUUUUGAAUGGCAGAUAAAGGUCUGGGGAAUGUGGCACCUCCGGGUGUGUUAUAGCCCCUCUCCGUAUAUGCUGUUUGGGAUCGAGGAACGCAGCACGCCCUUGUGGCCGGGGUUUUACCCACGUACCGUGCUUAGGAUGUUGGCAUAAUGGCUUUAAGCGACCCGUCUUGAAACACGGACCAAGGAGUCUAACAUGCCUGCGAGUGUUAGGGUGCAAAACCCUUGCGCGUAAUGAAAGUGAAAGUUGGGACCUCUGUCGAGGAGGGCACCGACGCCCGGCCCUGAACUCUUGUGACGGUGCUGCGGUAGAGCAUGUAUGUUGGGACCCGAAAGAUGGUGAACUAUGCCUGAAUAGGGCGAAGCCAGAGGAAACUCUGGUGGAGGCUCGUAGCGAUUCUGACGUGCAAAUCGAUCGUCAAAUUUGGGUAUAGGGGCGAAAGACUAAUCGAACCAUCUAGUAGCUGGUUCCUGC
rnacentral:rRNA from 1 species